rnacentral:tRNA from 1 species
GGCAUAGCGCAGUCUGGUAGCGCACCUGCUUUGGGAGCAGGGGGUCGGGGGUUCGAAUCCCUCUGCC